rnacentral:lncRNA from 1 species
AUGGGAGGGGUGUGGGGAGCGAGUGAGGAAGAAGGGACAAGCAGCGGAGUAGGGCCCCCUGAGCAAGCGGGGGCAAGGCAGCCUGGCUGCUCCCUCCGGAGCGGUCGCCGCCACCCAGGCCUGGGUGUGGCUGCAGGGGCAAGGCCAGUCCCUUGGGGCAUUUUGGGGGUACAAGGAAGUGCAAUCUCCUACGCGGCGGCUCUUGGGUCUCACCGAUCAAUCAUCGUCCCUGGGGUGGUGUGGCUGUGGUGGAGCUUGGCUCCUUCACCCUCCACCACCCUCCCUUUCCUCCCGUUGAUUCAGAAUUCCUUCGGGCCCAUGAAGAAGGCUCCUCCCUUCGUAGCCCAGAAAAGUCUUCCUGACCUCCGGAGCGGUGCGAGGCUGCCCAGGGAGCACACCAGGCAGCCUGGGCGGAGGCCAUUCUUGGAACAGGAUACCAGGGCAGGAACCGGGACGGGGCUGAGGCUGCCAGGAAGUCAGUCCCCUUCCCUCCCGGGUCAUUCGUGCUCUGCUCGCUGCUUCCUCACACCUUCCUUCCUUCCUUCCCAGCUGGCCCCAGGUGGGGCCCUGACAAAGGCGGAACCAGCUGGGGAUGCUGGGGAAGAAGGGCAGGAGGGCAGGAUCUCACAGGCUGGUCUUUGGGGGUCGGAGCUGGGAGCAACACAGGUGGGUGGUCCGUGGGCACUGGGGGAGGAGGGAGCAGGCCCCGGGGCCCUCCGGGAGGCCUCGCCCCAACGGGACAACCACCUGUGCAGGAGGAGGGCGCACCACAGACCUGCCGUGCUUCCUGACCAUCCCCUCUCCCCUGAGGAUGAGGAGCCCCUGCCCCUCCCCGCUCCCCGCUGCUUGCUGGCUACCUGCGGCCGAGGGGAGGGCCGGCCCACGGCAGGUGUGGAAGCCCCAGCACGGGCAGGAGGGGUCAUGCUGCCUGGGUUCCGGGGUGGGGCGGUGAUCAAGGAGAGGCAGAGGAGUGGGUGGGGAGAGCACAGGGUGCCCAUUUUAAAUUCUACCCGGGCCCCAAGUUCAAGCAGUCCUCUAGUUCGUCCCUAA